rnacentral:rRNA from 1 species
GACAGAGGGUGCGAACGUUGUUCGGAAUUACUGGGCGUAAAGCGCAUGUAGGCGGCAACGCAAGUCGGGCGUGAAAUCCCACGGCUCAACCGUGGAAGUGCACUCGAAACUGCGUAGCUAGAGCCCUGGAGAGGAAGGUGGAAUGCUUGGUGUAGAGGUGAAAUUCGUAGAUAUCAAGCGGAACACCGGUGGCGAAGGCGGCCUUCUGGACAGUGACUGACGCUGAGAUGCGAAAGCGUGGGGAGCAAACAGG